rnacentral:rRNA from 1 species
GAUGAACGCUGGCGGCGUGCCUAAUACAUGCAAGUCGAGCGAACAGACGAGGAGCUUGCUCCUCUGACGUUAGCGGCGGACGGGUGAGUAACACGUGGAUAACCUACCUAUAAGACUGGGAUAACUUCGGGAAACCGGAGCUAAUACCGGAUAAUAUAUUGAACCGCAUGGUUCAAUAGUGAAAGACGGUUUUGCUGUCACUUAUAGAUGGAUCCGCGCCGCAUUAGCUAGUUGGUAAGGUAACGGCUUACCAAGGCGACGAUGCGUAGCCGACCUGAGAGGGUGAUCGGCCACACUGGAACUGAGACACGGUCCAGACUCCUACGGGAGGCAGCAGUAGGGAAUCUUCCGCAAUGGGCGAAAGCCUGACGGAGCAACGCCGCGUGAGUGAUGAAGGUCUUCGGAUCGUAAAACGCUGUUAUUAGGGAAGAACAAAUGUGUAAGUAACUAUGCACGUCUUGACGGUACCUACUCAGAAAGCCACGGCUAACUACGU